rnacentral:ncRNA from 1 species
GCGCCGUGUUACUCCACAUAUUAAUGCGGCGGCGUUAUAUAAAAAGGAGGAUAUUAAUCCGUAAGGCUUGCGGUGUAGCAGUGUGGAGACCUGCUAUAAUGCGUACAGAGCAACAUCCGUCUGUUCGCGAGGCGUAUUGUGCGGAGGCAAAUGCGCCAGAGCCAGGAAAUAUGGCA